rnacentral:tRNA from 3 species
GGGCCUGUAGCUCAGUUGGUUAGAGCAGAGGACUCAUAAUCCUUUGGUCGCUGGUUCGAGUCCAGCCGGGCCCA